rnacentral:rRNA from 1 species
ACGAACGCUGGCGGCGUGCUUAACACCUGCAAGUCGAACGGAAAGGCCCUGCUUUUGUGGGGUGCUCGAGUGGCGAACGGGUGAGUAACACGUGAGUAACCUGCCCUUGACUUUGGGAUAACUUCAGGAAACUGGGGCUAAUACCGGAUAGGAGCUCCUGCUGCAUGGUGGGGGUUAGAAAGUUUCGGCGGUUGGGGAUGGACUCGCGGCUUAUCAGCUUGUUGGUGGGGUAGUGGCUUACCAAGGCUUUGACGGGUAGCCGGCCUGAGAGGGUGACCGGCCACAUUGGGACUGAGAUACGGCCCAGACUCCUACGGGAGGCAGCAGUGGGGAAUAUUGCACAAUGGGCGGAAGCCUGAUGCAGCAACGCCGCGUGCGGGAUGACGGCCUUCGGGUUGUAAACCGCUUUCGCCUGUGACGAAGCGUGAGUGACGGUAAUGGGUAAAGAAGCACCGGCUAACUACGUG